rnacentral:rRNA from 1 species
GCCGGGCAUUUAUCAUCUACUGCUGUGUGGUAGCUGGCCACUACUGUUGCUUGGCACUUGUAUGCUGCUGCUAUUGGACCAGGCAAGGCAUCUCCAAGUCUCAGAAAUCUCAAGGUUUUGUAUUGCUUGGCUCUUCUUCUUAGAAAUGGAGGUUUCGCCUUGAUCUUUGUGGCUUAUCAGUUUAGCUAUCCUCUGUCUUCAGGUGCAGCAGCAUGGUUUUCCCCUGGUAGUUGUUUGAUAAUCUUCUGUUAUCUAUUGUGAUUCUAGCUUGCACUUGGCCUUGCGAGAUCUUUAAAACUACCGACUGGCUAGAAGACUGGUUUGUAAGGGAAUAUCCCAGUGUUUUGGGUGGACCUCUGGCACUGCGUUUUUCUGAUCCAUGGCGGCCAUACUUGAAACUUUGCUUAAAUCAAGUGUCAAUAAGUUGCAAGAUGUCAUCACGGAUGAGGCUGUACUAAUCCUAGGGGUGGAAGAAGAGCUCACAAAACUGCUGGGACGAGUGGAACUAAUUCAGUGUUGUAUAUACGAUGCGGAGAAAAGGAGGACAAAAGAGCGAGCAGUAAACAACUGGCUUGGUCAACUGAGAGAUGUUAUAUAUGAUGUUGAUGAAAUCCUGGAUGUGGCUAGAUGUAAAGGAAGCAAGCUACUUGCUGACCACCCUUCACCAUCAUCAGGCAAAUCAGUUGCAUGUAAAGGCCUUUCAGUCUCCUCUUGUUUUUGCAACAUAGUGCCACGCCGUGAUGUUGCUGUUCGGAUUAGAAGCCUGAACAAAAAAAUUGAGAACAUUGUAAAUGACAAGAUAUUUUCGACUUUCAACAGUAGUACACAACCUACUCGAAAUGGUCCGACAUCCAAACUGAUAAGACGUUCCACUCUUGUUGAGCCCAACCUUGUGGGGAAGGAGAUCAUACAUUCUAGCAGGAAGUUGGUGGACUUAGUGGUUGCACACAAGGAAUACAAGUCUUACAAGCUUGGUAUCGUUGGAACUGGAGGAGUUGGUAAGACAACACUAGCUCAAAAAAUAUACAAUGAUCAGAAAAUAAAAGGAAGCUUCAAGAUACAUGCAUGGAUUUGUGUUUCACAAGACUACAAUGAAGAAACUCUUCUUAAGGAGGUUCUUCGGAAUAUUGGUGUGCAUCAUGAGCAAGGUGAAACCAUAGCAGAGCUCCAGAGGAAGCUUGCAAAAACAAUUGAAGGGAAGAGUUUCUUUCUGGUUCUAGAUGAUGUAUGGCAUUCCAGUGUAUGGACGGAUCUAUUAAGACCUGCAUUACAUGAAACAUCAUCUGGAGUAAUAUUGGUAACCACACGAGAUGAUCAAAUUACAAGCAGAAUAGGUGUACGGUAUACCCAUCGAGUUGAUCUCAUGUCAGUAGAGGUGGGAUGGGAGCUUCUUUGGAGGAGUAUGAACAUUGAGCAAGAGAAAGAAAUACAUAAUUUAAGAAACACAGGGAUUGAGAUUGUUCGUAAAUGUGGCCACCUCCCUCUUGCAAUCAAGGUUACCGCUGGUGCUUUGGCAAGUGGAGAUCUAACGGAGAAUGAGUGGAAAAAGUAUUUGGGCAAAUAUGUUGGUUCCCACAACAUGCUCUCUGAUGAAAUAGAAGGAGCUAUGUAUCUGAGCUAUGAUGAGUUGCUGCAUCGUCUGAAACAGUGUUUCCUUUAUUGUGCUUUGUAUACUAAAGAUUCUAUCAUUCGGCAUGAUGAAGUUACCUGGUUAUGGAUUGCUGAAGGCUUCAUCGAGGAGCAGCAAGGCCAACUACUAGAAGAUAUAGCAGAAGAGUACUACUCAGUGUUUUGAUUUUCGUUUUGUGAUUUUUCUCGCCCUAGGCCGAGAUGGCCGAAUUUCGGUCGUUUUUAAAAAUUUCGGCCGAAAUUUGACCAAAUUUUGACUGAAAUUUGAUUAAAAUUUGACCAAAAUUUCUCAAAUUUGACCAAUUUCGGCGGAAGAUAGAUUUCGCCCUAGGCCGAGAUGGCCUAAAUUCGGCCGAAAUCCAUUUUUUACGGCCGAAAUUCAAAACCCUAGUACUACUACGAGCUAAUACAUCGGAAUCUCCUCCAGCCAAAUAGGAUAAAUUUUGACUAGGCUGAAUGCAAAAUGCAUGACCUCUUAAGACAACUUGCUUUAAAUAUAUCAAGAGAAGAAUGUUUUGUUGGAGAUGUUGAAUCAUUAAGGGGUGAAAAUAUGUCAAAACUGCGACGUGUUACUGUUGUCGCGGCUAAGAAGGAUAUAUUAGUGUUGCCUAGCAAGGAUAAGGUGGAAGUUAAGGUGAGGACUUUCCUAACUGUUCGUGGUCCACAGAGAAUUGAGGAUACAUUGUUCAAGAGAUUUCUUCUUCUUCGUGUUUUGGUACUGAAUUACACACUUGUGCAAAGCAUUCCAGACUAUAUAGGAAAAUUGAUACAUCUACGUCUACUUAAUCUGGAUUAUACUGGCAUAUCUUGUCUUCCGGAAUCCAUUGGCUCCCUAAAGAACCUUCAAGUACUGAGCUUGAGAUGGUGUGAUGAUCUGCACAGUCUUCCUUUAGCAAUGACCCUCUUGUGCAGUUUAAGAUGUCUUGAUCUUUUUGGCACAGAAAUAAAUUAGGUUCCAAAAGGCAUAGGGAAAUUGAAGUUCCUUACUUGUUUGAGAGAUUAUCCUGUUGGUGAUGGAAGUGAUAAUGCCGUUGUACAAGAUGGAUGGAAGUUGGAAGAGUUGUCUUCUUUGUCGCAGAUGAGGUAUCUUUCUCUUGUUAAAUUGGAAAGAGCAACUUACUGCAGUACAAAUACAGUGCUUACAGACAAAAAACAUCUAAAAAAACUGACACUAUAGUGGACUGAACGUGGAGAGGGGUCAUAUUCAGAAGAAGAUGUUAGUAAUACUGAGAAGGUCUUUGAGCAGCUAAUACCUCCGCACAACCUAGAAGGCUUAUCUAUUGUUAAUUUCUUUGGUCAGCGGUAUCCCACCUGGUUUCGUACCACUUUUUUGUCUUCCUUAAUAUACUUGAAACUCAUAGAUGUACGAUCAUGUGUGCAUCUUCCACCAAUCUGGCAGCUACCAAACUUGAAAUAUCUGAGAAUUAAAGGAGCACAUGCAGUUGCCAAGGUUGGACCUGAAUUUGUUGGCUGCAAGAAGGGUGAUCAUGUAUGUAAUGAGUUUGUUGCUUUCCCAAAACUUGAAUGGUUGAUCUUCGCAGAUAUGCCCAACUGGGAGGAGUGGUCUUUUUUUGAGGAAGAAGUUGUUGCUGAUGUAAGCGGAGUGGAUGGAGCUGCUGAGAUCCGAAAAGAGGAUGCCCAACCUGCAAGGGUGCGACUGCUGCCUCGUUUGUUGGAAUUGCAACUUCAUGGUUGCCCGAAGCUGAGGGAUCUCCCGCAACAGCUUGGAAAGGGCACCACCUGUUUGAAGGAGCUCACCUUAAUAGGACUAAACAGCUUGAAGGCCGUGGAGGACCGCCCAGUGCUCUCUGAGGUCCUUGUUAUUGAGGAUUGUGAAGGCCUAGAGAAGGUCUCCAACCUCCCUGAAGUGGCAGAGCUGCAUGUGGGUGGUUGUCCAAACUUAAGCCAUGUAGAGAGAUUGGACAGUUUGCAGCGGCUGGGGCUGGGCGAGGAUAUGCAAGAGAUCUCUUCACGUUGGGUGCCUGGGCUUCAAGAGCAGCACCAACGACUUCAUGGCGAAGAUCUGGAUAUCUACACGCUGUUUAGGUAGUAGAUGGCUGGUAAGGUAUAUCUGAACACUGUCCACUGGUUGGAUAUUUAGUAUUGUCUCGGAUUGUGUCAACCAUGGUCCAUAUUCUCACAAGACAAUUUUCUGACUCAUUCGAUUCAUGCAUUGAAACGCCAUAUGGUUACUUAGAUUAUCAAAAUCGUCCUUUUAGAGUUCAAGAAUAUUGGCAUCUAUACCUAAUUUCUCAGCAUGUGUUUUUCCAUAAACCAAACUGUGUUUCCUAAUUCAUAUUAUAUACUCGGCAAAAUGGUGUCAGCCUAGGACUGGUGGCACGGAUCUUUUCGGCUGGCAAAGCACGAGUCAUACUAAGCUGAGGAGGCCUGUCCAUGCUGAAGAUGUGCAAGUGUGCCAUGGUCUGUAGCGAGCUGGUGAAGGAAGUGUUCUGUUUUUCUUUGGGCAGGUGCCUGGAAUUAAUGUAUCGAGUUUCGUCUUAUUUCUUUCUGAACUUUCCCAGAGACUUUCAUUGUACUGAAUCUGCGUGGCAUGGUUUGUUCUUUGGAUGUAAUCAACACAGUUCGUUUAUCUCCUUCUGAACUUGGGGCCGGAGGCCCUUUAAUGUAGUGAACCUGCGUGGCACGGUUUCGUUGUUUGAAUGGAAGUGAUGAAUUUCGUUUUGGC